ACGUGCCCCCGGGGCGCCCUCCGUCCCCCGGAACUCCGGGGCCGGUCGGGCGUUCCCCUCGGCCCAUCCGUGUCUACUUUACCUGUUGCUUCGGCGGGCUGCCGGGGUCGCCUCGCGGCGCUCCGGGCCUGAGCCCGCCGAAGGUCCCUGAACCUCUGGUGAACGUUGGCGGUCUGAGUGGGAUGAUGAAUCGUUA
rnacentral:misc_RNA from 1 species